rnacentral:rRNA from 1 species
AGAACGAACGCUGGCGGCAGGCUUAACACAUGCAAGUCGAACGGUUGUAGCAAUACAGCAGUGGCAGACGGGUGAGUAACACGUGGGAACCUUCCUAGGGGUACGGAACAACUCAGGGAAACUUGAGCUAAUACCGUAUACGUCCGUAAGGAGAAAGAUUCAUCGCCCCUAGACGGGCCCGCGUAGGAUUAGGUAGUUGGUGAGGUAACGGCUCACCAAGCCUACGAUCCUUAGCUGAUCUGAGAGGAUGAUCAGCCACACUGGGACUGAGACACGGCCCAGACUCCUACGGGAGGCAGCAGUGGGGAAUCGUUGGACAAGUGGGCGCAAGCCUGAUCCAGCCAUGCCGCGUGAGUGAAGAACGGCCUUGGGUUAGUAAAGCUCGUUUAACCGAGGGUACGAGUAAUGAC